rnacentral:lncRNA from 1 species
UUUUAGGUGAGCUGCUAUCAAGCUAUGUCUUUCCUAUCCUACGAUUUGAAAGUUGAUUUAAAAAGAAAUUCUCACCAGCAUAGGGCUUUUAAAUAUAUAUAUAUUGGUUAUAUUUAACAAUCAGCUAUGAUGAAACUAACAACACAAUGAACAAAAGCUGUCCCAGACUACUUCAGGAAGAAUUACCAGGAAUUGGUAACACAGUAGCCGCUGUCUAUGAAAAAAAUGGAUGUUGAUGUCAUCUAUAAAUGGAACUGUCUAGAACAAUAGUCGAAUAGAAAUGGGGUCACCUGGUUUAGGCUGUAAUUCAGAGUGUUGGAGGCCACAGGGUUCUGGUCAUGUGUUUGAUUCUUCUGAUCUACUCUAACUUCUGAAAAUGAGCCCAAAGUUAAUUUGUGAAAGAGAGACAGUUGCCUUGGGUCCCAACAAGAGCACCUCACCACAGGCAAAUAGAUACAACUUUGCAAAUUGUGAGCUCUGUGAGUCAAGAAGAAAGCAGUCUCUGGCCAUUUGAUGGUGAUGUACAAAGAGAAACAGGCUCAGGAAGUCAAGUAACUGCUCCAGAAGAGACUUGUGAAGUGAAGGAUCAGCAUGUGGGACCCAAGAAGAGGAAAAACAAUGGCAUUUUUCAGCAUCAUAGAUGAAGAAACUGAAGUAGAGAGAAAUGUGCCAAGCAAGAUUAAACACCUAGACAGCAAGCAAUCUGAUAUAGGUUAAACAUGCAUUUCUGCUAAACAUUUUCAUAUUAUGCUGCACAAGGAAAAUGAGAUCAAAAGGGGAAAAACAUGAGAAGGAAAGAAAAAAAAAUACAAGCAAACAACAACAACAAAGUUUCAAAAAAUACCUCUUUCCUCUCCGCCAAUAUAUUUACUAAUCUUCUCAGGAUAAAGGACGGGAGGCUGAUUAUUUUGAAAAGUACCAGAAGUGUUUGAGUCAUGGUGACCUUUGAGGCAGAAUUACAGACUGGUUAAUGCAAUCAGCCAAACAAGCUGGGAAGCCUUAUCUGAAGAAACCAAGGUGCUUGGGACUCAAGACUGUGCUCUAUGGAAACUAAACUGAACUGUGAACCUAAUCCUCUUUUCUUCCCCAGAGACUAAGGUGAGGCAAAAGUGGAGGUAGAUUGUGGAU